rnacentral:rRNA from 1 species
UACGUAGGGUGCGAGCGUUAAUCGGAAUUACUGGGCGUAAAGCGUGCGCAGGCGGUUUUGUAAGCCAGAUGUGAAAGCCCCGGGCUUAACCUGGGAAUGGCAUUUGGGACUGCAAGGCUUGAGUGCGGCAGAGGAGACUGGAAUUCCUGGUGUAGCAGUGAAAUGCGUAGAUAUCAGGAGGAAUACCGAUGGCGAAGGCAAUCCCCUGGGCCUGCACUGACGCUCAUGCACGAAAGCGUGGGGAGCAAACAGG